CGUCAAAUCAUUAGUUGAAGGCUCAGUCUAACACUUGGCAUUAUCCUAUUGGAAUAGAACAGAGGACCGAUUGUAACGUCAGUACAGGUAGAGGGACACCCCAACUACAACGAAAAGCUGUACUAUUUGCGCAUGUUUAUGGUCUCCGUAACAUGCAGACUAUCUGACAACUUUUUAUGGGAGAGGCUGUACAUGUAGUCGUAAUAUACACCUUUAUAUCAUGGAUAAAUAUAAUAUGAAAUAAGAUACGUGCCAAGUUAAUAGAACAUACGCGACAGCUGCUAUUAAACUCUCCGAGUAGCUUCAUUAAUUCGUGUUUUUCAAUAAAUUCCUGUAUUGCAUCAGUUUAGAGAAUGUGCACAGCGCUCCCAUUCUACGGGGAUUGCCUUACGAUAUAAUUAUACACGUUAUAAUUCACCUAUAUCAUUUUCCACUCUUACUACCGUACUGGUUAAUUCACCAUAUAGGUAUUAUUAUAGGUUUAAUAGCCUGUAAUACCCUGGAAAUAAAUAGUGUAAAAAUGUAUACGGAGCUAAAAGAGAACAUUAUGAAACUGAACGUUCACUUUAAGCUUAUCUAAAUCUGCAGGAAGCAGGCGCAAUUUGUUGAGUUUAUCAAAGUUCAGCCACAUCCCCUGACCUCUACUUUGUCAUUGCGCAAAUUAAUUUAGUGUCAAUGACACUUCCUGCUCUCAAGGCUAAAAAAGGAGACGUGGCAAAGAGGCUCGGGCAGGCAUGGAGGAAACUCCAUGGAAAGUACUGAAAUCACAGACCAUUUAUAUACAGUUCAUUUCUUGUAGAGACAGGUGUUUUUUUUCCGCUCUGCUUUUCAUUUCUCACACUGACACAAAACAUAUUGGCUUGAUAAAUAUGAGACAUGACACUGAGUCAAAAUCAGAGCUGGGCGGUGAGAUCCAGACAAGCAAGAGAUGUAAACAUCUAGCUGCGGAUUCUAAUCCAUGCACCGCCCGAUUAAAGCUGCACGUGAAGUCUUAGAACUUAGAACAUCAUGGUAUCACCACUGCAAUAGAACUGGUUCAAAUCCUGGUCAGACCACCUCACCAGUAAGCAAGGCUACCAUCGGGCAUGACAACCAUGAUGGUUGUCAUGGGCCUGGACUGCUCUGGCAGACUUGGACCAGGGGUAUAUACAGCUGUACAUUGUCCAGGCUGACUCCCUCUGCAGGGGUAUAUAGGGGGAUGUGCUGGCUGGGCUCCCUCUGCAGUAUACAGUGCCUGGAAGCCAGCACCGUGCCACCAGGGAAUUUAAUCUCCACCUUCACUGGCCACAGGCAAGAAGCAAGGAGGGAAUGAAACUAAAUUUAUUGGAAAAAAAGUGUAAAAAAUAAAUAGAAAUUCCUUUUUUGUUCCCAAAGAAUAUAGCCUCAAAUUUACACAACAUAUUUACACACACUACAUCCACUCCACACGCACACUCUGCAUCCACUAUAUACACGACAUCUACUCCACACACUGCAUCCUAGUGGGCAGACUCCGGGGCAACAGGCCUUGAGCGGGUUAAGGGGCCCCACAAUUUCUGAUGGCAGCCCUGCCAGUAUGUGCCCCUGGGCAAGACACCUAACAAUAUGUAUCCACCUACCUCAAAUUCUCAGAUAUUGUUAGCUUAUUUCAGCAAUGUACUAGUUACCUCAAAAUUAUAAAGCUCUACAGAAGUGAUUGGGGAUGUAUAAAUGGUACUAACAGUUUACAGAAUUCCAAUAUCUAUUAUCUAAUAUCCAAUAUCUCCCACAGGAUCCACCAUCCUCUGAAUUCUACAUGACAGCUGUCCAAGAAAACAGUGCCAUGAUGACUACUCUAUACCCGAUACUAGGUGGAGUUACAGGUCACAUUACAGUGCCUAAAUCUAGUGGGUUUUUGUGUUUGUUUUUAAGAGUUCUACAAUCCUGGCACCCUUGGCAUUCCAUAUACCUGGGACUACAGUACCCAGAAUGCCAUGCCAGCUAGUCACAGCUAUUCCAGUACCAGGGAUCUGAUUGAGACUCAAUGACACUCAAGAGUGAGUCAUCCUGUAUCAAUAGCAGAUUGCCCUACAAUAAAU
rnacentral:lncRNA from 1 species